UUUAAAUAACUGCUUCCGGCUCGUGAAAGUGCUUGGGGGUGAUAACUAUUUUGUUUAUCCAUGUCUCCCCUUUGCACGAGGAACACACCAAGAGACGAUACCAACUUGAACACCAUCACUCAUGAGGGGUCCACCAGAGUCUCCCUGCAGAAGAAACCUCCCUGCAGAUUAAACCAGAAAUACUAUUGAAAACUAAGUUUACAGUGAUGUGUCUUCGUCCACUACUGCAAGAACGGUAAACGCAAGAUGCAACACACGAAAUAUAAAUUAUGAUAAACGCGUUAUGAUAAGGUAUCUAGAUCACAUACCAUUAUUAAUAAUGUUUAAUAAGGUAUUUAUUACUCUCAUAUUGACACUAAAAUAAUAAAUCAAACAAACAUAGUGGGCUUUAUGAGUCGGCGCAACCAAAGUAAAUUUUAACUCGAAAAUAUUUAAAAUUUCUGUUUCCACUUCUUGGAAAUAGAUGGCUGACUGAUGACAAAGAGUCAAAAUGUUAAUUUAUCAUAUAUAUGUAUAAAAUGCUUUUAUGAUUUAAAACAAGUGAACGUUAAAGAAGUUAGUGAUGUUAAUAUCCCGGUCGUAGGUAUCCUAUUUAACUUACCGCACUAGCACUACCACACCAAUGGGCGACAUUGCCCUUUUUUCCUGACGGGGUUUUAGUUGUACUUUUACCAAAAUUUUACGUUUAUACAAUUGCACGUGCACAAUUCGUGCAUUUAUCCAAAUAAACGCACCUUUAAUAUGUGUAAUAUUAGUAUACAAUAAUAUAUAGUAUAAUGAAUUCAAAAAACGUUUCAAGCCAAAGGUAUAUAUAGAUAUUAAAUUCUCUACAAAAAUG